UCGUGAGCAGGGGGACCCCGCGGCCCCGGGUGCGCAGACGGCGCAGGGCCUCGUGGUCAAAUAAUCGUCGUUACGGUUUCAUGAAUGUGUGUGUACACACGCAAUACAUUGCAUGCGCGCUCUGCGUUUUGUUUUCUGAGUCUUCUUAAAACACGCAUUCCUAAGUUUCUAAAGCAGACCCCCAAAGGCCGUUUAAAUGUCCACUCUAAGGAAUGCUCUAGGUGACUGAAUCUUUACCUUAUGGGAAUAUGUACUCUUCAACAUCUUCAAAAUCUUUAUCUUCAAAAUCUUGAAAAGGUGGAUUAGACAACUGAAUAGUCACGGCUGAAGAGAGAUUUACUGAAGUCAAAGAUAAAACUGAAGAAAUUACACAUACCACAAAGAAACAGAAAAUGUAAAAGAAAUAAGAGUCAUAGAGAGUAGAAUAUGAAAAUCUAAUGUAACUUGGAGUUCCUGACAGAAAAAAUAGAAGAGGACAGAGACAAUACUCCAAAAUAAAAGAAGUCACUGAAUUGUUCACCUUAAAAUGGUUGAUUUUGUUAUAUGGAUCUUACCUCAAUGUUAUUUUGAUAUGCAUUUCAUAACAUAUAUAUUUCUUAUUUUUACAUAAGGAACUUAACAUAUAUGAUAUAUAUUUACAUGUAUAUAUAUAAAUUUCCAGGAUUGAUUAAAGGCAGGCAUCCAUCAAUGGAAAUCAGAAAAAUUUCCACAAGAUGUUGAGUGAUAAUAACACCAAGGUAGA